AAUAUUUAAAGUGAAAAUUACUGAAGGCUCAGUAGUGCAUAAUAUCGAAAGUACAUAUUGUCUCAAGUCUCAAAACAAAAGUACAUAAGUCUCAAAACAAAAGUACAUAAGUCUCAUUACACAACAUAGAUAGAAAAUAAUAACAUAUGACAGUCACAAAUUCUAACGGUACAGUCUCUGGUGGCGGAAGUCACAUACAAGUCUGCAACACUGCAUCUAAGAUGCUUGACCGCCUCAGAUUCGUACUCCUGUCUCAUCGUCCCAACAAGGUAUGGAUGCAUAUGGUCCAACACCCUGUAAGCAAGCUGCACAGUGGAAAAGGAAACAAGUUAGCUACCGGUAUCAAACGCCGGAACACCAGUAGGGAGGGGCCUGAGGAUGCGCGGGUGGGUGUGGCNNNNNNNNNNNNNNNNNNNNNNNNNNNNNNNNNNNNNNNNNNNNNNNNNNNNNNNNNNNNNNNNNNNNNNNNNNNNNNNNNNNNNNNNNNNNNNNNNNNNNNNNUCUAAACAAAGACUGAAAUGGCAUCAGCCUGGACCAGUCCUCGUCCAUCCAAGCUCUAUCUGUGCUGUCAGCCCACUCAACUGUGUAUCCAUUAGGCUCAGCCGCACUGUAUACCCUGGAAGGCAUAGGGAUAAGACCCGGAAUCAUCUGUGCGUAGCCGAACUGUCUAACCACACGCGUCGGAUCAUAGUACUCUGUUGUCGGUCCGAAUCUAAUGACCCCACGAAAAGUCGAAUCGGGAACCUCCACCUUGGGACGUGGCCCAGAUGGCAGCCAAAUCACAUCCCGUGCGGUCAUAUCAUCAAGCAGACGACGGUAGUACUCCAGACGACGGUGCAUGAAGUCGUAUGAUCUAUCUGGCAGCUCGCUACUGCUCCACCACCCAACCAAGGCCUCAGUAUCACCCCGCUCCCGAGCCACUUGUCUAGCAGCACGAGUACUAGGGAAGUACUUGUGAAUCCAAGUCUGAAGUAGAGACACGCUCCCCACCAUCCCCUUACACUUAGCCAUACUCGCCUUACCCAGCUCGUGGUACAACCAUGCUAGAGCCCCAGUUCCCCAAGCAUAUCUCAAAACAGUGGACACGACCCCCAUAAAAUACUCCCACAAUACAAGACGAGUACGAUCGGCGGACUUAUCAGUGAACAGUGUCGACCCUAGCAGACAAAACAUGAAUACCCUGUAUGCAUCCUCAUCCACUAUACCGCUCCCUAGGGCUAACAUCAACUUCUCAUGCAUCGCAACACCCUUCAGCCAAGGGUAGCAUGCAUCACCACCUACAGCGCCUCCAACUGGCAACUUCAAAUCCCCGGGAUGGAUACAGAGAGCCCUAGCUAUAACGGCCUACAGAUCAACGCUGGAUCGAGGAAUGUGAAGUGGACGUCCGUGUUCUGGGAUACGGAGAAUAUGCCAUACAUCAUGAAGUGUGAUGGUCAUCAUGAAGGGCAUGUGGAACGUGUUAGUAUCCGGCUGCCACCUCUAAACAAAAGCGUGGAUUAGUGCCUCGUCUAACUGAUCGGUCAUCCCAAAAUGACCCAAAUGGAGAAGUCCUGUGGUAGACAUCAUCAUCUCAAGAGUCGGUGUGUAUGACUGGAAUCUUAUCACAUGCCUGACAUGAUCCGGACGGGUGUAGAACCUGAAAUCUCGGAUGUUACGGUAGUCCGCACCGAGCUCCCACAGAUAAUGCGCAAUGUGACCCCGAAACUAGGAAUCACACUGGUCGCAAUCGGGCCUCUAUCCUCGCCUCGAGCUGCCAAGUGUGGGAAAGGUUUCCCCCAGCUCCAGUAGUCUCGACCUCCUCAUCUCUCUUCCCACCAUGUGUACUUGUGACAGGAGCAAAACGAGCAUCUCUCCCAGCUGCAACACCAACGCUCCCUGAAGCAUGAGACAAACUAGUGAAAACCCUAAACGGUGGAGGCGGAUAGGUAUCAGACUCGUAGCCACCAAAUAACUCCUCCUUGCUGUCAUCUGGCAUAAAUCUCCGUCGUGAAGUUAGAAAGGGGGGAAGUCUAACAGGCCUAGUGGGGGAUGGAGGUUUAUCAUGGGAUACCGAAAUUCUAAUUGGGGGGAAAGGCUCAGGGGUUUCGUAGAUCUUUUAUUUUUUCUUCUUCUUAUCUUCUUCUCUCCUAUUACAAGUAGUAAUCGCACGCUCGGCAAGUCGGUUAAUAGUUUCCAUUGACUUACCCUUCCCUCGCAUUUUCUGAAUUCCAUCAGUCUCUUCUUCUAACUAUAAUAAACGAAAUUAUCUAAUUAAUCACAUACAUAUAAAAAAUCUAAUUAAUUAAAUUAACUCUAAUUAUCAAAAUUCAUCUAAACCCUAAACCUUAAACUUAUUCAAAAUUCAUUAAAACCAUAACCCUAAAGUAAUUCAAAAUCCAUUAAAACCCUAAAUCCUAAACCCUAAACUAAUUUAGAAUUCAUUAAAACCCUAACUCUAAACUAAUUCAGAUUCAUUAAAACCCUAAACCCUAAACUAAAUUCAUCUAAACCCUAAGCCCUCAACUUUUAUGUCAACUUAUUCAAAAUUCAUUAAAACCAUAACCCUAAAGUAAUUCAAAAUCCAUUAAAACCCUAAAUCCUAAACCCUAAACUAAUUUAGAAUUCAUUAAAACCCUAACUCUAAACUAAUUCAGAUUCAUUAAAACCCUAAACCCUAAACUAAAUUCAUCUAAACCCUAAACCCUAAACUAAUUCACAAUUAAAUAAUUUGAAUAAUUUUUUUUUUUUGAAAAAGGCGUGUAAACAGACGGCGGGUCCGUCCAUUUACAAACCCUUAAAAAAUGGACCCAAACGGACGGACCCGCCUCCGUCUGGGUCCAUUUUCUCAAUUUUUUUUUGUUAAAAACGCAUUAUUGAGGGUUAUCUGAUCGAAAGUCGUCGAUCUUCAAGUUCGAAACUUCAAUUUCUCGUCGAAUCUUCGAGUUAGGAUCUUCAACUUCUAACGAAACUUUCAACUUUUGUUUUUUAGAUUGAAUGUGUUUGUCGAAGAUUGAACUUCUUAUAAAUUUUGAAUGUUUACGGAAGGUCAAUUUAGUAAUUUAUCGUUUUAGAGCGUCGUUUAAUUCGAAAAUUAGGGCGUCGUUUAGGGAUUCAUGAACAAAGUUUUCAAACAGAAAAUCGUUUUCACAAACAUUUAGCUUACAAAUCCAUUGUCAAUAACCAAAUAGUCACUUUUUCAUAUUUUAAAGUAAUCUAUUCAACAACAAAACUACCACCAUCUACCAAGCAAAAUCAAAAUAAAUAAAUAAAUAAAAUAAAUUUUUACCUUUCUCGUCCGCCUCUUCUCCAGCUGACGGAUCCGUCGUCGGUGGACACUUUGUUUUUUCCUUUCUUCUGUUUCCUACUUCUUCUCCUCCCGCUCCACCGAUUUCAAACCCC
rnacentral:lncRNA from 1 species